GCUCAGCGUAAGUUCAAUCAGGAAGACAACAUCAUCGGGUGUCACACGUUAUUUCAAUAAGUGAUCAGGGGCAUUACGCCCCGGCUAGCCAAUCAUUGCACCUGCUAACCUCUUUAAAUCUGCUCUCCCCUUCCUGUCAGUUGUCAUUUCAGGUGUCAACGCACAACCCUCCUCCACCCCUUCGCCUCCUGUCUCCUAAAUACAGGGCCAAGCUAAACCUUCUCCCUUCAGAUCGGACUGAACUACUAUCACCACCACCAGUGUCUAGACCCCGGGGGGUUCAUCAGAGCGGUUCUUUCCCUCCUGAAUGAUCAUCCUGCAAACCCGGGGCCUAAUCGCCAAAACAUCAUUACAGUUACUUGUUGUAAUACGUCAAUCACUAUUCCCGCAUAUCAUGUGUCCCGAUAAUAAACAUGUACUCAUACA